rnacentral:tRNA from 1 species
AGGCCCACCACUUUCAUCGAGUGAGCAUUCGUCUUCUGGUUACGGGGCCAUAGCUCAGCUGGGAGAGCGCGUGCUUUGCAAGCAUGAGGUCGUCGGUUCGAUCCCGUCUGGCUCCACCACGCUUCGCCUUUCAGGCUUCGCGUGGCGCAGCCAAGCACGGUCGAAGCGUGCCCGGCGUAGCUCACUUGAGCGUAGACGGGCUGGUUGAGAUCAGCCCGUAACCAUCACCGUCCGCGAAACAUCACUUCGCAUCCUGCUAGUCUGGAUAGACAGCAAGAUGCGUGUUUUCUGACAUCGUAAAGAGGAGAUCGAUCCGAGUUGGGUCGUGCAGCAGAUUGUUGCGCGAAUCCUUCAUUAUCUCCGGAUCAUUUUCGGCGCUCGCUUUCAGCCGUGAGGUUGAAUGCGAGUUGUAAAAUGAUCCUUUUAGCGAAGCUUGACCGCCUCGCUAUCGGAACGAUCUUACGAAGCAAGCUGGUCUUUCUAGUCAAUGUCCGGCUGCACGUAGCAUUCAUCGAGGGUGCGCGCCGUAAGGCAAUCGUGCAGACAACAUUCUGCCGAGUGUGUGGACAUUGAUAAUGAGAGCAAUCAAGUGCCUUAAGGGUGUUCGGUGGAUGCCUUGGCGCUGAGAGGCGAUGAAGGACGUGCUACGCUGCGAAGCUGCGAAGAAGC